CACUUACCGGCUGAGCCAUGCGCGCUGCGCUGCAUAGCUCAGCCGGUAAGAGGC
rnacentral:pre_miRNA from 1 species